GAGGGCACGCUGAGGGGCGCUCUUGUCACAGCGAUGGCGCGGCGCGGGGCGGGGAAAUGGCGGCGUCCUGCCCGUGUUCGGCAGUUUGCUUCAGCCCCCACAGGCCUGUCCGAGCCACCUGCGUGUUGGGUCGUAUUUUGUAAGAAGCAAGAAACGUUUUGUUCUCUGAAGAGCAAACUUUACUUCCAUUUGACCAUGGUUCCAGUCAGGUUUGGCCAAAACAAGGAUCUCUGUUCUCAGUCAGGACCAACCGAGGUGGCAGAAGCUACAUUCCCCUUACCUUACCCCAGAGAAACCUAGGGACAGGGAAGAGCAAGUUUCAGAUUUCCAGGCUGAAGAGCACACAGAGGGCAAUCGUCCCCAGAACGCCUCGUGCUCUGCUUUUACUCCUUCUUCAUUAAACACUCUGCCGCGUGAAGAUCAAAUGGGUGUAACGAGGGGAAACGUGUCAGAGCCACGUCUUCUCGAGAGGCGCCUGAGCUCUGCCAGAGCCCACACUGGUGCUCUGUGGGGAGCACCCGGGUGAAACGAGCAGGGCGUGCUGUGGGGGCUGCGGGGGGGAACGGGGUGUCAGAGUAAAGGCAAUGUACUGCUUGGUUUUGAAAAACUGGGGAGAAAGAACUUGAGAUUCAAGCUAAAUGGGAAGCGAGCUGCAAAGCAAAUUGAAAACCAGCAUUUAAGCUUUUCAAGCCACUUAUUUCUCAUUUAUGUGUAGAUCUUUGACUCUGGGAAGAGCACUUGUAAAAUCAGCUGUUCUGCUUACAAGGCUGCGGCUCUCACCACGUGCAAACGGCAUUGGUUCAGCAAGUGUCUGGCUAGAGCCAGCGGUCGGGCAGGUCGUCCAAAGGGACACACCAGCAUCUCGCUGCCCUUGCUCUCUGCCCGAGGGCUCAGCCCUGCGGGUUUCAGCACAGGGUAACUGUGUGAGCAGGAACAGAUAACCACAGAGAGGGAGAUUUGCAGUUUAAUGAAAAUGUGCUCUGAACCGUGAAAGGCAACACACAAUUUUUGAGAUUAUGAGUUUACCAGUAUUUAUUAAAGUAUCAAAACCUGAAAUAAAAUAAUUGA